AGCAGCCGCGGUAAUUCCAGCUCCAAUAGCGUAUAUUAAAGUUGUUGCAGUUAAAAAGCUCGUAGUUGAAUUUCGGGGUUAGUAGGUCGGUCAUGCCACUGGUAUGUACUGGUCUCACUGAUUCCUCCUUCCUGAUGAACCGUAAUGCCAUUAAUUUGGUGUUGCGGGGAGACUGGACUGUUACUUUGAAAAAAUUGAGUGUUUAAAGCAGGCUAACGCUUGAAUACAUUAGCAUGGAAUAAUGAAAUAGGACGUUCGAUCCUAUUUUGUUGGUUUCUAGGAUUGACGUAAUGAUUAAUAGGGAUAGUUGGGGGCAUUAGUAUUCAAUUGUCAGAGGUGAAAUUCUUGGAUUUAUUGAAGACUAACUACUGCGAAGGCAUUUGCCAAGGNUGUUUUCAUUAAUCAAGAACGAAAGUUAGGGAUCGAAGACGAUCAGAUACCGUCGUAGUCUUAACCAUAAACUAUGACCGACUAGGGAUCGGGAUGGAUUGUUAAUUUUUUAAUGUACUCAUUUCGGCGC
rnacentral:rRNA from 1 species